rnacentral:rRNA from 1 species
UACGUAGGAGGCGAGCGUUAUCCGGAUUUACUGGGCGUAAAGAGGGCGUAGGCGGCCUGUCAAGUCGGAUGUGAAAUCUCCCGGCUUAACUGGGAGGGUGCAUUCGAUACUGAUGGGCUAGAGUGCAGCAGAGGGAAGUGGAACUCCCGGUGUAGUGGUGAAAUGCGUAGAUAUCGGGAGGAACACUAGUGGCGAAGGCGACUUCCUGGGCUGUUACUGACGCUGAGGUCCGAAGGCGUGGGGAGCAAACAGGAUUAGAUACCCGCGUA